UACGUAGGGUGCGAGCGUUGUCCGGAAUUACUGGGCGUAAAGGGCUCGUAGGCGGCCAACUAAGUCGGAUGUGAAAUCCCCAGGCUUAACCUGGGAACUGCAUCCGAUACUGGAUGGCUUGAAUUCGGGAGAGGGAUGCAGAAUUCCAGGUGUAGCGGUGAAAUGCGUAGAUAUCUGGAGGAAUACCGGUGGCGAAGGCGGCAUCCUGGACCGACAUUGACGCUGAGGAGCGAAAGCUAGGGGAGCAAACGGGG
rnacentral:rRNA from 1 species